UGUUCAUUCCAAAAAGCACAAAGCAAACAAGAAACUCUUCCACUCUGAAUUUCAGCCACCAAUCAUUUAUCCAGGUCAUUGCUUAGUGUGGACACUAUCUUUCCACGCUUUAAGUCACUGAUUGAUGUUACGUACAAGUCUGUCACAAAACCUGAAGACAAUGCAAAGAAAAAGCAGGACAUCUACGCCAAGUAUGUGUUAUUGAGGUACUGUAAUAAUCUCAAUAUGUACACAAAUCCGGGCACAUAAACUUGAGCCAAGUUCAAAAUGUGAAUCCAAAACAGCUGCCACUUCAAAUAUUUUUAUGUUUAUUGUGCCUCCAAGUGGCUGCAUUUGUGCACACAUUGAGCUCAUUAAAUUCAAAAACUUAAGAGCACUGUGUGGAUUUAAUACAUUAUUCCAGAUGAUAUUGAGAUAUGCUAAGACGCUGGUAGUAGGGCAGAUUUAAGACAAAUAUGUGAGGAGCAGGAGGCUCAGAGACUGUCACACUAAUAAGUAAGUAUGUUUCCUAAAGUACUGUACUUGUGUCCACAUUGUAUUUAUUUUCAUACUUCUAAUCCACUACAUUUAGACAGAGAUGUUGCACUUCUCACUGCACAAUCUGUUCAGUUUAAUUCAGCAGUGUAUUAUUAAGUCCGUUAGAGAAGUAAAAAGAGUAAAAAUCUUUAUAAUUCUUUACAUAUAUCCAGCGCUCGAUUUAAGGCCGAGAGGUCCGGUCGCCCAAAUGACAUUUUUUGGGCCACCAACAUACGUCAAUUUAGACAUUUGUAGGAGCCAAAAUCAACUUUUAGUGGCCCAAAAAAUGAAUCCUACUUUUUUUUUGGGGGGGGGGGGAUCCAGUUCCUCCUCCACGUCAACUUGUUAGAUGAAGCCGCCGAGCUAUCACUGGUCGCUGGGCAAAGUGUGCAUUAAAACCCCCCACGGCCGUAAAAAGUCACCCACGAAUGAGCAGCACAUUGUUUGGCGCUCCUAGCCGGCAACUGGGACGUUGACAGCCGGAACAGCAGCCACAGGAAGGAGCUGUGGAACCAAGCAGAAGCAUCGCUUACCACCCAGACUUUGGUGGUGUUGGAGAUCCGGCCGUGCUUUUCGAACAUCCACUGAUGGUAGGAGAGCAGCAGUUUGAGGCAGAACCUGAGGGCCAGGAUGAGGGAGAGCCACAGCAGAGUGCUGAAGACCAGCGCUGACAACAUGGUCUGACCCUGGGCACUGAGGGACACGUGGAGACUGGACGGAGGGACGGGAAAGACAUUUGAACAAGAUAAAAGUGAGCAAAAAUAAUACUAUCUAAAAGAAAAAACUAAUAGUUUCUGAUUGGAAUGAAACACUAUGAAACAUAAAAAAGGCAGUGGAAAAAUGACAGAACAAAUAUAGUAAAAUCUGAUGUUAUAGAAAUACAAUUUAGAUGUUUUAAGACAUUAUUUCUGACCUCUAUUACUUUUGCAUGAUUAAGAUCUGUACAUACACAAACUGAAUACAUUUUUAUGACACAGUAAUUUGGUUGUAUGCAAUUAUGGAGACAUGUUGUUAGUCAUCUAUUACAAAUUAACAUAAUAACACCUUCGAAGACAAACUUUACAUGGUUUUGACUGUUAUUACUACCAUUAUAUGUGUCAAUCUUUUCUUACGGAUGCUGGCAUUUUAUUUGACUAAUGCAUUAAUAUGGAGUAAUAGCUGCUAUUUUAGUUUUGUUUUAGAGCAUUUACUGAAUGUUUAAAUACUGUACAAAUGACACAAAAGUGGACUUAACAGCCAAUCAAACAUAAACUCAUAAACUAUUUCUAUACAAAAAACACCAAUACCACAAUAACUUCUUGUAGAGAUCAGAUUAGCUGUAAACACCGGAGGAGUUUAAUUAGAUUAUUAAAUUAAUCGCCAUUAAAUUGUGUAAUUUUUAAGAAAAGUAGUCAAAUUAUCUAAUUAGAUAAUUCUGGUUCCUUUCAUUUUGGGUGAUGUACAAAACCAGACAUUUAGGGAAACACUGAUCAGCUAUUUUCAGCAUUUUCUGACAUUUCACGAACACUUAAUAUUUUGUAUAUCAACCUAACAACUAAUCGAUUAAUCAGAAAAUACACAAAUCCACAAUGAAAAUAUUCAUUAGUUGCAGCCAGGCACAAAUAGUGAUCUAUUCAUAUCAAUGAAUACAUCUUAACCACCAUAAAUAAUGUUUUUUUUCUGUGGCAAAAUUGAAAAAAAAUGAAUGACUGCCUAUUGCAGGUUCCACAUGUAAAACCUCCCUGUGAGGAAAUACAACAGUAUGAAAGUACAACAGCACCAUCUGCUGGAUGACUGAGGAAGCACAUUCUACUUCCUUAGUCACCCAGCAAUAGAGUUUUCCAAUAACACAAAGCAAAAAUCACAUAAAUUUAAUAAUAAUGCACCAAAAAGGAAACAAUAAUGUGUGCUAGCAGGACAAAAUUAGAUAGCAGUAAAAUAUAAAAGCAUAAAGGAAUGUAAUAAUGAAUGUAAUAAUGUGAAAAUAAAGCAUAAACAAUGAAAUCAAGACAAAUGAGUAAAGUUUAAUGGAAAACAUGCUGCAAAUUAAUGACAGAGAUAUUUUUCUGUGUGUAUGUUUUUGCUGAUUAAGUGCAUUUUAAGUGUUAGAAUCCACCAUGAGACGUCCAAACAGCUUUUCACAGAAAAUCUUAUGCUGGUUUAGGAACACAAUAUGCAUUCAGCUUUGGAAAGGCACACUUUUAGUUACAAUCAUGAGCAGGAACGCUGCUGUUUACACCUCUGCUCUGUUCAUUAUGUUCAUACACUUUGUUGAUCUCACAUCAAAUCUAAACUCAAUCAUUUCAGCAUGAUUAUUGUGUAAUAUAUUAGCGUGACUGGCUAUAAUGCAGACAGUUUGUAUACGUACGGUUAGUGAAAAGACUGGUAGGGAAGUAGGGGAAAGUUCAAGUGGAGGAACCAAACCCUGAGUGCUCUACGCUGAUUCAUCACCCAAACAUGCCAGAACUUUACUACGGUUGUUCAGAUGAGUCAAACAUAAGCCCUCCUGACUGGAAGUGCAUGUCAGACUGGUCUUAAACUGGAGCUGUCACUUCCAGCUGUUGGACUCUCUCGAGCGUUACACAUCACUCUCUGAGACUCUUUAAAGCAUAUAAAUAAACUGCAUUUCAAAUGAGAUCACGAGCUUUCGAUGCAACAGAUCACAGCGUUUGGAAGUCACAAAUGUAGAUAUAUAAUAGUAAAGUGUGACUUUAAAAUGCAAACAUUUCAGUUAGAACAAAAAGUGCAAGCUGCAAAAAUCACUGACAACUCAAAUCUGAAAUACAAAUUUGAGUGGCAUUUUACAGAAGCCCAUUUUCAGCUCACAAAAGAAAAAACUAUGGAGGCAGUAUAUCAUGAAUUUAACUCACUAUUCAAUCAUUUCUAGACAAAAAAAAAAAGUUUUUAAUUAUGAAAUCUGGAUCUUACUAAUGUGAGAUAAUGCGUAAUUAACUAAGCAGCCACAACUGAUGAUGUGAUCACAUGAUCAGAUCUAAAGAUAGAUUAUCAUAUGAAUUUCAGCAAUAAGGCUAGGGCUGGAUCCGAAUAUCCGGAAUAUCCGAAUAUUCGUUCGCUACGGCGGUAUCCGGAUAUUAAUUUUGGUAUCCGAAUAUUCACCAAAAUUUGGACCCGGGAGACCAAACGAACAGAUCUGAAUAUUCGGGCCGUCUCCGCCACCCCCCACCCCCCCGUCGGACGUUACGGGGCGGAACGAAUAUUCGGAUAUUCGUCUUUAAUAGGGCCCGAAUAUUCAGAGGCCAGAAACCACUAUUCGGGCCAGCCCUACAUUAGGCCUCCGACUUUACGGUUACAACACCUGCAUCUCACUAGAAGAUCCAGUCUUCUAAUAAUGACAUGGUAUGGCUUUCCAACAUAAGGUCUGUAAAAUGUUUUAAGUGUGUGUGUGAAUGCAAUGUGCUUCUGUAAUAUUAACCACAUUAAAAAGGUAAAAAACUC